AUGUGGAUCUUCAAAGCAAACAUGUCUUUUAACACUGGAAAUCGUCAUGAGCAAAUGCCCUCAAACACAGGCAGGAGCAGAGCUGUUGCACCUAUUCAUAUUCAUGUACACCAGGGCUUUCUACCUUCUGGUGAAGCACUUGGUUGCAUUAUGGUAUCUUCAAGGGAGCCUCCAACUCUGCUGCAGCAAAGCAAAGCACAGCAGCAGCUCCAAUACCAAAUUCAAUCUGCUACCACCAUUCAGGCAGCAUGGAGAGGCUACCAAGUUCGAAGAGAGCUGGAUGAAAUGAAGAGAGCCUCUACCAAGAUUCAGGCAGCAUGGAGAGGCUACCAAGUUCGAAGAGAGCUGGAUGAAAUGAACAAAGCUGCUGUCAAGAUUCAGGCAGCUUAUCGAGGCCAUAUGGUGCGGCAGGCAUUGCCCCCUGGGUUUUACAAGUGCCUAAGAGAUAAAAGGGCUGAAGUGGGUGGAAAGAAGAAAGAAGAAAAGGGAACAAUGACAGUGCUUGGAGUAGCUGGCACCCUGGAGUGCAAGGAAAUCUCCCAUGUGAUAGCUGCUACCUUCAGAACUGAGAGUACAGCAGGUUGUUGCAGGGACGGACACAGUGCAGGCUCUGAUGCAGCUGUGUACAGUUCACAGGUUUAUUUCACAGCCAGCCAAACUGUGAACCGUGAAGACAAUAUAUUUUCCUUUGAGAUUCUCCCAGCUGUGACAUCUAAACAGCAAGUCCAGAAUGCUGCAGAUAAAAUUCAGGCUGCAGAAGGGCUUGAUAAAAUGGGAAGACCGUCUGAGAAAAUAUCAGGGCAGAACCUGGUCUUAACCUACAAUUGUCAACUCAAACAAAACGCUUGUGAAAAUUCUCAAAUUCCAGACCUAUGCAGUAUCUCCGGGGUGCUGAAAUGGACUUCAAAGCCUAAAGACACAGUGCCAUACUCCAAACAAAACCUCCCUGCGCAGUUAGAAAUGAAAAAGGGGGGAAAAGCAUCUGAUGCUGACUGCAACGCCCCAUCCAUCAGGAAGGUUGAAGUGCGCACAGUGAUGAGGAACCUGCCAGCAUCCCAGCAGUGGCCCAUGUCCCUCCGCGUGUCCAGUCCCAAUGGAACUGUGGAGUGCUUUCAGCAGGACAUAGUUUUGGGGCAGCUGCAUGGGAUGUACAGUGUCAGAAGACUUGGGGGCUCGCAACCUGCCUGUGUCUCCGUGUGCAUGAGAGUGGUGGAAGAGGGAAGGGAGGCAGGUGAAAGCCCAGCGUGGUAG
rnacentral:lncRNA from 1 species